AUUGAACGCUGGCGGCAGGCUUAACACAUGCAAGUCGAGCGGGGUGAUGGUGCUUGCACUAUCACUUAGCGGCGGACGGGUGAGUAAUGCUUAGGAAUCUGCCUAUUAGUGGGGGACAACAUCUCGAGAGGGAUGCUAAUACCGCAUACGUCCUACGGGAGAAAGCAGGGGAUCACUUGUGACCUUGCGCUAAUAGAUGAGCCUACGUCGGAUUAGCUAGUUGGUGGGGUAAAGGCCUACCAAGGCGACGAUCUGUAGCGGGUCUGAGAGGAUGAUCCGCCACACUGGGACUGAGACACGGCCCAGACUCCUACGGGAGGCAGCAGUGGGGAAUAUUGGACAAUGGGGGGAACCCUGAUCCAGCCAUGCCGCGUGUGUGAAGAAGGCCUUAUGGUUGUAAAGCACUUUAAGCGAGGAGGAGGCUCUUUUGGUUAAUACCCAAGAUGAGUGGACGUUACUCGCAGAAUAAGCACCGGCUAACUCUGUGCCAGCAGCCGCCGUAA
rnacentral:rRNA from 1 species